AAAAGGGAAUGAUUUGCUUUGAGUUCCUGAAGAAUGGGCCAAGGGCAGGGCCGCUAUGCUG
rnacentral:ribozyme from 1 species